AGGAGAUUCGGUUAAUGGUAGGCCAGUAGCCUUCAAAGUUAUUAGUAUUGGUUCGAUUCCAGUAUCUCCUG
rnacentral:tRNA from 1 species